UUGGGGGGCCCUAUGGCUGGGGUGUGGGGGUGGGGGUGCUCGCGCGGAUAUUCCCCUGCUCGGGAGCCAAGCCAGGGAUCAUGUCACGCGGGGCUCCAGGGCGAGGAAGGCCGCCGCCAUUGGGCGCUGCUGGAGCUCGUCGGCACCGUUCGGGGCGCGGCGGGGCUGCGGGCGGGCGGGCGGCUCCGGUUCCGCGCCGGGUCGGGUGGGGUCGAGAGAGGCAGAGGCCCGGCUGCUCCUGCUCUCUUCUCUUCUGCUCCCGAUCUUUUUUUAUCUCGCGACGCCGGGGGCUCGUCCGCUCCGGCUCGGCUCGGCUGGUCACGUUGCCUGGGCGGCUGGGUACUGCGGCGGCACACGCGUCUGGAACCAGUCAUGAUUUAUGGCACGUACAUCAAGGUGGCCAUCAGGAUUGCUGUACCGUAUGGCUGCCUGUAUCAGCAUCAGCCGCCCUUCGGCAAUCAAGGAGUGGAGGAACGAAGGGAUGAGAAGAAGAAACGGAUGCGACGCACCAAUGCCACGCAGCCGUUGCCGCCGGCCUCCCGAGCACACAAACAGGCAGCACAGCACGCGACAAAGAACGAAAAAGCCAAACCCGGCCGGGGGUUGCAUUGCGUCUCCCAAUCAGAUCACUCCUCCAUCCCCAACGGCCGUCCGGUCCGGUCCGGUCCAGUCCCGCCGCCAUCCGAAAUCCGAUCCGAGCCAAGCCAACCGUGCCCGUGCGUGCGUGUGGUGUGGCUCUCCCCGCGCGGCGGCAGCAUCUGCGUGUGGCCCCCGGUUGCCUUCGCGGAGCCGCAAGCUGUUGCUAGGCAGGGAAGGCAGGCGCCAACGGCACCGCACGCGCACCAGGUCACGGAGAUCGUGCGCGACGGAGAGAGCAGAGGCAGGGGCAGCACGGGACCGAUUGGCCGCACACCGCACCACCACACGGCCACAUGCGGCCUGCAGCCACCGGGCGCUCGCCUCGUUCCGCUUCUGGCUUCCUUUGCUGUUCCUGUGCUGCUGCUGCCGCCGGCCUGUUGCGUCGGGGCCUCGCUGUCCCAGAAUAGCCCGCGGGCCGUGGGCGUCGCAGUCGCAAAUUGGGCGGCCAGCGUAGACCCUUCCGCCUUCAGCUUCAGCCCCGGCGGGUGGUAUACUUCUCGGUGUUGUUGCCAUCAGCUGUCAGCCUGUCACACGUCUCUCUUGGCCGCCCCCCUGGCCGGUGCUCAGCCUCACUCCUCAACCAGGUCUCGGGCGCCACUCGUCCAACUUUGA
rnacentral:misc_RNA from 1 species